rnacentral:rRNA from 1 species
AUGCAGCUGUCCCGCCUGAACCAGCACACCUUCCUCUCCCUCCUCAAAGCCGCCGCCUCCGUCUCCUCUCGCCGCCUCCCCAGCCUCCACGCCGUCUACAUCAAGCUCGGGUUCCUCGCCCACACGCGCGUCACCAAUGGCUUCAUCCAGGGGUACUGCGCCACGAGGCGAGUCACCGACGCGCGCAGGGUGUUCGCCGAAAUGCCGCGCCAGGACACCGUCUCCUUCAACUCCAUGAUCCACGGCUACGCGGUGUCCGGCGACGUCGCAUCGGCGUGCCGGCUCUUUGAGCAGGUCCCGGCGCCGACGCCCGUCACGUGGACGUCGAUGGUCGCCGGCCUCUGCCGCGCCGGGGAUGUCGGGUCGGCGAGGCGCGUCUUCGACAAGAUGCCGGAGAGGGACCUGGUUUCGUGGAACGCCAUGAUCUCUGGGCACGUCGGGAACAGGCAGCCCGUCGAGGCUCUCUGUCUCUUUGGGCGGAUGAUGAAGGAAGGGUUCGUGCCAAACCGUGGGACUGUUGUCAGCGCGCUGUCAGCCUGCGCGAGCGCCGGUGCGUUGGAGACAGGGAAGUGGGUCCAUGUGUUCAUAGAGAAGAACAGGCUCCGGUGGGACGAGUUCCUGGGGACGGCGCUUAUUGACAUGUAUGCCAAGUGUGGCGCUGUGGAGCUUGCGUUGGAGGUGUUCGCGAGCUUGAGGGCGAGGAACACAUGUACCUGGAAUGCCAUGAUCAAUGGCUUGGCCAUGAAUGGCUACUCAGCAAUGGCGUUGGACAUGUUUCGCCAAAUGGAGCUUGACGGAAGAGUGGUACCGGAUGAAGUGACCUUUGUAGGAGUCCUCUUGGCAUGCAGCCAUGGUGGAUCUGUGGAUGCAGGUAGGGAGCAUUUCAACAUGAUCUCCAAGAAGUAUGGCAUAGGGUUAAUCCUUGAGCACUAUGCGUGCAUGGUUGAUCUCCUUGCCCGAUCUGGUCAUCUACAAGAGGCACACAAGCUCAUUACAGAGAUGCCAAUGAAGCCAGAUGUUGUCAUCUGGAGGGCAUUGCUUGGUGGAUGCCGGCUCCACAAGAAUGUCAAGAUGGCUGAAAUUGUCAUAACUGAAAUGGCAGCAACCUGCAGUGGAGACCAUGUGCUCCUGUCCAAUCUCUAUGCUGCAGUAGGGAGAUGGAAUGGCGUUGAAGAUGUUCGGAGGACCAUGAGAAGCAAGGGGAUCGAGAAGAUUCCUGGUUGCAGCUCGGUUGAGAUGGAUGGUUCCAUCCAUGAAUUCAUUUCAGGUGACAAGUCACAUCCAUCAUAUGAUGACAUUCAUGCAAAACUGAUUGAGAUUGGUGGAAGGAUGCAACAGCAAGGUCAUGUCACAGAGAUCACUGAGGUGUUCUAUGACAUUGAAGAUGAAGAGAAAGAGCAGGCGCUUGGACAUCACAGUGAGAAGCUUGCAAUAGCGUUUGGGCUCAUUGGAGGACCUCCAGAUGCUACAAUCAGAAUUGUCAAAAAUCUCCGCUUUUGCAUGGAUUGCCACAAGUUUGCUAAGCUAGUGUCCAAGAUCUAUCAACGGGAAAUUGUGGUUCGUGAUAGAGCCAGGUUCCAUCAUUUUAGAGGGGGAACUUGUUCUUGCAAUGAUUUUUGGUAG